rnacentral:rRNA from 1 species
CCUGACUGCUAUCGGAUUGAUACUAAGCCAUGCGAGUCUUUGUAGUAAUACAAGGCAGACGGCUCAGUAACACGUAGUCAACCUACCCUAUGGACAAGAAUAAUCUCGGGAAACUGGGCAUAAUUCUUGAUAGAUCAUAAUGCCUGGAAUGGUUUAUGGUUAAAAUGAUUCGUCGCCAUAGGAUGGGACUGCGGCCUAUCAGCUUGUUGGUGAGGUAAUGGCCCACCAAGGCGAUUACAGGUACGGGCUCUGAGAGGAGAAGCCCGGAGAUGGGUACUGAGACACGGACCCAGGCCCUAUGGGGCGCAGCAGGCGAGAAAACUUUGCAAUGUGCGAAAGCACGACAAGGUUAAUCCGAGUGAUUUCUGCUAAAGAAAUCUUUUGCCAGUCAUAAAACCACUGGUGAAUAAGGGGUGGGCAAGUUCUGGUGUCAGCCGCCGCGGUAAAACCAGCACCUCAAGUGGUCAGGAUGAUUAUUGGGCCUAAAGCAUCCGUAGCCGGCUUUGUAAGUUUUCGGUUAAAUCCAUGUGCUCAACGCAUGGGCUGCCGAAAAUACUGCAUAGCUAGGGAGUGGGAGAGGUAGACGGUACUCAGUAGGAAGGGGUAAAAUCCUUUGAUCUAUUGAUGACCACCUGUGGCGAAGGCGGUCUACCAGAACACGUUCGACGGUGAGGGAUGAAAGCUGGGGGAGCAAACCGGAUUAGAUACCCGGGUAGUCCCAGCUGUAAACGAUGCAGACUCGAUGAUGCAUUGGCAUAAUAGCCAGUGCAGUGUCGCAGGGAAGCCGUUAAGUCUGCCGCCUGGGAAGUACGUACGCAAGUAUGAAACUUAAAGGAAUUGGCGGGGGAGCACCACAAGGGGUGAAGCCUGCGGUUC